UUCCAGCUCAUCUAGUCCAAUGAUAAUGACACAGAAGGACAUUACUUAUACUGUAGAUGUAACAGAUACAGCUAAAAGGCAUGGUACAACUAUAUUUUGUGCCUCAGUGCCUGUUGUCAAAUGGUCAAAUGACUUUGUAAGAACAAAAAAAGCCAAUCUUCUUGAAGUGUCUCUCUUUUUCUUCCUAUUCUAGCUGCCCUGUAUUAUUUUCAUCUAACAGUUUUUCCUGCCCCUUCUGCUCUGUAAGAUUACAUUGGCUUUGAGGAACAGUAGGCUUACUUUCAUUUGUGCUCUUUGGCAGCUGGUCUCAAAGAUGUCACAUCAGGCAAUACCAAAACACACUACUUCUGUCUACUCAGAACUCAAGUCCUGGGCAGCAUCUGAAAACUUUUCUCAGAAAUGAAAUUAUUUUACUAUUUUGACUUUCUUUAUAAUUUUUGUAUAAGCAUUCAUUUAUCCAAAAGCUAAAAAAUGUUGAAAUUUAUGGAAGGAAAGAACAUAUAUUACUUUUUGUGUGUUGUAAUUCCAUUUCAUUUUAAAAGGAUAUUUUUUUCUAAAGCAGGGAUCUCCCCUGCAUUCAUAUUUCUCUCAUAGAUUCACAUAGAAUUUGGGACCAAAUUUUAUACAGGCUUAUGUAUAAAAAAAGGAUUGCAUAAAAAAAAAGAAACCAUGUGCUGGUUUUGUAGGCAUUUUCUUUACAUUCAGGCAGGAUCAUCUAAUCUUUAUCUGAAACAUUAACCUGAGAAAUCCUAAAGCAGAGCUUUAUGGGAAAAUAUAACAUACUGAUGGAGAGAAAGUGGUCCCAGAAGAAGGAAUAUGCAAACAAAACUGUAGAGUUUUUGAGCUUGCAGAGAACAGAGGAGCAUUCAGAAUCAUGAUCUGUUUUCAGUCAUGAAUAUCUUGUAAAACUGGAGCGAGGCAUGUUAUCUUCAAGCACGUGAAGCUAACAAUUUUCUAGCGGUUCUUUCUUCUAAUCUAUGGAGACCACUCUUUAAAAAAAAAAAAAAAAAGAAAUAAUGAAACAAUUUGCAAAGAUAAAAGAAGAGUACUUGAAAUUUAGCCAUUCUAGCUGAUAUAUUUUCCCUAUGAUCAUGGUCAGGAAAAAAUGUCUUUCUUAGGACUUGUCCUGGAGUGCUACUGUAGGUAUCCUUUGAGCUAAAAUAGCCCAAACCCCAAAGGGUCAAUUAGAUUAUAAUUUGUACAGAGGACUUUGAAAUGUCACAGUCUAUUUAUCUAACUCUCUCUUAAUGUGAGCUUAUUGAAAAAAAAAGAUGCUUUAUUGUCACUUUCAAAUGGAAAAAAAAGAGGACCAAUUUUUCCUUAAUUUUUGGAGUAGUAUCAUGAAACUACACACAUAUCUUAAAGGUCACCUACUGAAUACUGAAAUGAGAAUUUUUCCAUUAUGAAUGACAGACAUUUGAUUUGAUGCCUCCUCCAUAUGCACAACACCAGGAAUAAGAGAAGCCCUCUAGAUUCUUUAAAAACUGGUGGAACACUCCUUUUCUAUGUUUUAUAGCUUGGAGAGAGAGCAUAUCCCAUAGAAACACCAUUCAUCAUUCCUAAGUUACAGGGGAUCUGCGCUACUCUACCAUCUACUGAGUUGUGGUUACAAGGAACAGUGGAGUCUAAGAAAUUUAAAACCUGACCUCCACCUGGUAUAAAUUGACAGAUUCUAUUGAAAUCAGUGCCAAUUUCUCGCCUGUGAUUUAUUUUUUGCCUCAGAAUGUUUAAGUUUAAACAGGGCAUUUGAAAUUCAAUGUUAAGUUUCAGGAGCACCUACCCAUAUGAAAAUGUUUGUGUAAAUUAGAAAUAAACAACUAUGCAAACUUGCAUAUGUUCUCAUCUGUUUGCUUUUCCAUCUGUACCUUUUCAAAUAAACUCUUUGGGAUUUGAGGAUUCAUUACCAGCUGAGAAAAACUGACACCCUGAAGACUGGUCUAUUUAAUCCAAAAUCUGUUAUCCCAGGGAAGAUUUUUCUUUGCUUGCAUCUCCACUAAAAAAUGAAGGCUACGUGUCAGAAUGGAUGCAAGGAUUUUGUUGGUGCUGGCUGGCUGGUUUCAGUUUACAGAGGGUGUUUCUAGGGAGAUAGUGCCCUGUGUGUCGCCAGCAGGCUCAUUUGGCUUGUCUAGCGGCAAUUCAUUUUGUUUACAAGUACAAGAUUACAGCAGGGGGUAGUAGCCGAAUUUAGAGACAUGCAGGAAAGGAAGAAGCUGCAGCUGAAAUGACUUGGUACCCUAAGCAACACAAACAACAACAACCAAAGAAGCAGAGCCAGGCAGGAGUUGGACUGUCCAGGAUACUCUCUUGAUGCAGUGCAUAGCAGUCAUGAGCAUGCAGGCAGCAGAACGGUCCUCGUGCAACCAGGGGAGAAAAAACAACAACCGCUGCUGGGAACUGCAGGGACACGGAGAGCUCUCUUUCCCAGGGUGAGGGCUUCUGCGUACCACACCCAGCAUCAAGUGUUUUGAAACCAACAGCAGAGCCCUGCACAACAAAAGAAGAAUAACUAUAACACUAAUAAUGCUGAAAUAAGAAGGGUUUGGCAGCUUCCUCCAAGAAUCUAUACAACAUGCAAUGAUGCUAAGUAACCGGUUAUCUUGGCCAAAACAACGGAUGGCAAGAGCUGAGUGAAUCAUUUCAUGGCAGAACACCUUCUGCUUAUAUUUGGUUCUGUUGUGUGUGUUCCAGUGGAUACCCAACAGCCCCAUAACAGAUUUUUCCAACACCCUUUCUGUCUAACUGUAUUUUUGUUAACUAUCUAUAUGAAUCAAUUUUACUUAUAAUUUGAAAUCUGUUGCUAUUCAGCUACCUGUACACAUUGCAUCUUUUAAUUCACACAGUAAGCUGCAUAAAAAUAUCCAGAUUUAUUUAUAUAUUAAAAAGCUACCUGAUGCCAAUUUCCACCUGUAUACCUUUGGAAGCCUUUUUCGGUCAGCUCAAAAGGUUAGACAUUCACUUAUGUGCAUGUGCAUUGCAAGUAAACAUAGAGAGAUGUGAUUGAGUCUGAAAUGGAUUAAUUAAAUACGUCCAGAACAGCAAAACAGGUACAUUCUCAGAUAAGUUUAACAAAGUGUUUAAAUUCUUUGUAAAACCGGUGUGGAAUUAGACUUAAAGCUAAGCUUAUGAUUAAGUAUUUUAUUGAAUCAUGGCCCAUUUGCAGGAGAAUUUGUGAGGAGACUUUUUUGCUUUUUAGCCAACUCUGCUUAUUAACUUACAGUUUCUGCAUAGCCAUAUUUUUAUUUUCUUUAUUUUGGGUUAAUUUUAAAAUGACAGGCCAUAAAACAUUUCAUUUGUCUUUAGAAAAGUCCAAACCCAGCAGCUCUCAGGAGCUGUUGAUUUAUGGUGUCUUGCCUUCACAAUCUUGCAAUGAGCAUUUGUUCUGAUGAUGUGAUGUUUGUGAUUUCAUAUCCUGCUGUGGAGCUUCAGUGUGAGAAGGCGUAUUCUGGAACUAAGAUGAACUGGAAUGUUGCCUCACCUACUCAUGCAGUUUCAGGUCCAGUAAAUUGAUUUAAUCUCUUGCUCUUAAUAAAAAACAGUUGUUAUUUUUCUUACUCUCCGCUGGAUUCAUAGACCGCAUCUACAGUGGUGUGAGGGAAAAAAAUAUGAAAAUAAGUGUGUAAGUGUAACACAAAAGUUCAUUGUGGCCAAACUGGCUUUCAACAAUGUUUAACUAUCAGAACAUUAAAUAAUUUUAAUGACUAGUCAUAUUUAUUUAUCCAUUAAUUACAGAGAGAAUCACUGUAAGUACCGAUGACAUUUACAGCUAUCUGGUCAGAAUUCCCCUUGUUGCAGCUUGUAACCAAGUUGUCAGUGUGUUUUUCUGAGUUCAUGUCUGCCUUGUCUGUACCCUUCCAUUGCUUAGCUAAAGAGAAAAAAAAAAAAGAUAUUCAAUCACACUUUUCCUGAUAAGACUGAAUGAAUCCUGUUCCCAGCCUCUUCUCAUAUAUCAUGUGUUCCAGACCUCUUGUCAUCUUGGUGACCUCCCCUUGUCUCACUACUGUACAUCCCUGUCUUUCUUGCAGGGAAAGUAACAGAGAACAUAUUUCACUGAAAAUGGAGACUAUGAAUGAAACAAAUUGGGCAAACAUUUGGUAGGACUUUGGUAGGAUUGAAGAGUACUAUCUCGGGAAGUCUCUUGCACCAAUUAUCCACCUUUAUUCCCAUACAAUUUUAUUUGCUUCAGAUAAAUUAGCCUCCUCUUUUUACCUCCACCACUAAAACAAACCAGGCAAGAAAAAAUAAAGCUAAUAGAUAGCAGCACCACAUGGAGACAUUUAUGAACGGGUGAUUCAAGAGCAGUCAGCCUCUAAUCUCUGAUGAACUCACAAAAGUGGGAAUUUACAUUUCUACUGUGCUUCUACUUGCCUUGUAGCAAUAUUGGCAGAUAUAUUUCUAUAACUCACCACUUGAUCCCUGACAUUUUCUGGUUUCAGAAUGUGUUUUCAAAGAAAUAAUGGUACCAGAGGUACAAGUCAGCAAACAAAGAGGGGUGAAUCCAGGGAUGAGGCAGACUGAAACACUUUCAUAGAAUAUGGCUGACUCUGACUGAGCAAAUAAGAGGAGAGAAAUGAGCAUCCUACUGCAGAAAAUGCCUCUGAGGAGCAGCAAAUGAUGGGAACAAAGCUUCUGGAGGCAUGUUUUUCCCUGAGUUGUGCCUCUUGCUGAGCUACCCAUGUGCUGCACUGCACUUAAGCUCACAGUGGAAUACAGUUCCCUUACUGCAGGUUCUCCUCCAUCAGAUAUUAUCUUUGCCUAGUCUGUCACGCCUUAUUUGGUGUUUUUAGAAGAGAAAUAGAAAUUCUACAGGUGCAGAAUCUGGCCCCAGCAAAGGAUGAAGGUGCUGUUCUGAACACCAUCACAUCUACAGACAUGCUGACGGAAACAGCAAUGAAAUGAGGUGCUCUGCAGGGUGAACAAGAAAAGUUUUCUGACAAAAGCCAUAUCUACACUUUGGCAUAGUUUGAGGUUAUUUAAGAUGAAACUGAAUUCAGAAUAAGGAAGUAUUGAUCACACAGUAAGGGCUACUUCCCCACUCUGGGAUCUACUUCUUCACCUCUCAUGCUGUUUCACAUACCAUGUGUUACACUUUGCCCUUCUCUUCAGUCACACUUUUUCCAAGAAUGCAUUUGACCACUAAAACUUUGGCAUUCUUGGUAUACUAAAAUGACAUUUAGAGUAGAGGAGAAAGUAACAAUUAAUCAAAAAUGGUGCAUGGUGGGAAAACAUCUCAUCAAAUCCAUGCAUUGCUUGCAGUGCAGCUCUUUUCCCUACAGGCAGGAGCAGGACCAGUGCUACACCACAGAUUGCAGAGGCUGCUGCCUGGAGCAGGGGCUGUCAAAGGAGGUACAUCCAUUAGUAAUGUGCUCCCACAGCACAGGCAUUUCCAAAAUCUUCUCUGCUUCUUCAGCUGUUUCAGCUCUGUUGCAUUGGCUGGAGGGACUCAGUUCAGCUGGCUUCACACACCCAUCUGUAAAAAUGCAUGAACUGUCCCUAAAGGCCUUAAACCACAUUUCAGGGAAGAAAACAGAAACACAAGAUCUGGCUCUUUCCCCCUUAAUGGUACUCAGAUUUUAAGUGAUUGCCUAAUUUAAGUCUUCAACACUAAGAUCAUCCUCUGAUACUCUGGCUUAAUAAAACCUUCCUCAGAGAACCAAAUUAGAAGUGCCACAAGGGACAGUUCAUGAAGCAGAAUGCUACUGACUAUGAGUAAGGGUAUUAGUAUCUGGCUCUGGGCUUUUUGGGUCAUUUCCUCAUCUGUGACUUGUGCUGCUCUCCUCCUGUACCUGCAGCGCCUCAUCUCAGUCGUGGCUCUUGCAUUGCUAUGGAAAGUGAGUUUCUCCACUGCCUCUGGAGCAUCCCUAAAGAUAGAAGCAUCACAGAGGCAGUUGUGGUCCACCUGCUGUUCUAGGAAAGAAGUUUGCUGAGCCAAGAAUACCUGCUUUUUCUUGCUCCAAUGACCACUGCUGCCGCAGCACAAUCUGUUGUUCCAUCUUCCCAGUCCCUUUCACUCAUCUGCCUCAUGGAGGAGGUGAUGCAGACCUGCAGGAGCUGUGUAAGCCCUGCACAGAAGAGAUGGCACCAGGAAAGGAAGGGCUAGAUGGUUCCCCUUGUAAGUCCACAACUUUGUGUGGUUUGGCUGCUUUGCCAUAUGUGCAUUAAUCAUUAAGAAUACACGCUGAUAUACUUAAAGCAUUCAGUCUCAAUAAAAAUGGGGUCCUCCAAAGUCUUCAUAGCUGCAUAGUCUCUUUAUAAAAUGUCAACAUGUUUUAAAAGUUUGUCAAAGAGGCAUGGAAAGAACAAAAAGGGUUUAUGCCUACAAAACAACUUCAACUUAGCUGUUAUCUAUACCACACUCAUGUACUAUCUUGAAAUAAUUUGUGCUAUUUCCUUUGUUCUGUAUUUCAAAACAAUGCUGUAUAUAUUGUCUUAAGGAAUAAAAUAAUUAAGUGUAUUUAUAUACUAAUAAAAGUCAUGAAAAGUA